CGAGGGAGGAGUUCGGGGCCGGUCGCUCAGAGCGAGUCGCACGGCAGCGCUCCGCUUCGGGACGCGCGUUACCGAAGAAAAUAUACUUUUGAGCCCAGGAUUUUCCGUGCUUGCUUUGGGCCAGGGAACUGAACUGUAACAAAAAUGGAGAAAAGACCCAGAAAGCUUGUGUAAAUUGGAACCAAAUCAGAGGCAUAAUUUCUUGUACAUAUUGGGUCCAAGUUGGAACUCAGCAACAGAAGGUACAAAAAGCCAGAAUGCUGGUGUUAACAGGACAUCGGGACUUAUUUUUCUGACACAGAGGUUAUUUCCAUGGAGAAAACACAGCAUGUGUGAAGCAGCCUUUAUAGAUGGUGGAUACUGCACAAGUGAUAAAUUUUAGGCUGGUGAUCAGUGACUAGGCCAUCUGUUUUCAAUAUGCAUUAUUAUAAGUGCAUAAUGUAGGGUGAAUGUUCUCAAGUCACAACUGCCCAAAGAUAAGCCCGUAAUGCAAGAUAUUUUAGUAAACAGAAGGAAUGAAGAACCUCCUGCAUUAUCAUGCCAAUGAAAAAAACAUGAGGAUUUCCCACAGGCAGCAGUGCAGGGCUAGCCAAUGUGGUGACUUCCUCAUGUUGACAGAGUACAAGCCCAUCAGAAGUCCCGAAAACAUCCGGAGGGCACCAUGUUGGCUAUCCCAGCAGUUGUGGAUGAACCUUAAGUAAGAUUUUAACACGUUAACAGUGUAGAACAAGUUAGAGAGCAACUGUUACAGCAAGUUUCCUAUGAAAAUUGGGAUAUAAUGGACCACUUGGAGAGACCUGGGACCAUCUGACUACCUUCUUGUUGUGUUUGUCAUUCACUUGAUCCUCAUGGAAAAGAACUUGGGCAGCUUGCAACACCAUAGCAGCAGGUAAGCUUAGCCGAGAACAGGUGACAAAGAGAUAGCACUUCAGAACAGCAGCAGCGAAGAUGACCUAUUUACCUAUAGAUAGCCUCGCUUUGCAUCAGUGGAGUACUGGAAAUAGAGCUGGGAAUAAAGCAUAGCGUUUGCAAAAAGCACAGCCUCGGUUGCGUGCUUUUACAACUUUUUUUAACUCUCAGUGACUGAACCUUGCAGGAACCUCACAUUUUCCUGGCUCAGCUUGAACUUCUUCAACUCUACAUUUCUUGGCUUGUAUCCCAAGAUUCUUCAAGCCCCAGAAAUGGAGACACUCAACAAAGUUUUAAAUACAGAUGUGGGGGGGGGGGAUGAGAAGAGAUGGGGGAAAGGCUUCUUGCUCCACCCAGGGUCAAGGGGAUGCAUGUUAAGUACAUACUACCAGUCAUGUGCAUUAUUAUUUUUUUGUUUAAAGCAGCUUUUAAACAAAAGUUCUGAAGUCUCUUGGGAGAAGAGCAGAUACUCAUAAAUGACAAUUGUUUCUUCCUA